AUUGAACGCUGGCGGCAUGCCUUACACAUGCAAGUCGAACGGUAACAGGUCUUCGGAUGCUGACGAGUGGCGAACGGGUGAGUAAUACAUCGGAACGUGCCCGAGAGUGGGGGAUAACGAAGCGAAAGCUUUGCUAAUACCGCAUACGAUCUCAGGAUGAAAGCAGGGGACCGCAAGGCCUUGCGCUCACGGAGCGGCCGAUGGCAGAUUAGGUAGUUGGUGGGAUAAAAGCUUACCAAGCCGACGAUCUGUAGCUGGUCUGAGAGGACGACCAGGCCAACUGGGACUGGGACACGGCCCAGACUCCUACGGGAGGCAGCAGUGGGGAAUUUUGGACAAUGGGCGCAAGCCUGAUCCAGCCAUGCCGCGUGCAGGAUGAAGGCCUUCGGGGUGUAAACUGCUUUUGUACGGAACGAAAAGACUCUGGUUAAUACCUGGGGUCCAUGACGGUACCGUAAGAAUAAGCACCGGCUAACUACGUGCCAGCCGCCGCCGUAA
rnacentral:rRNA from 1 species